AAACCCAAUUACACCCCUAACCCCUAUAACUACUUAACCCUUAGGAUUCUGUAUUAUUGGUUUUAGGUUGGGGCGACCACGGAGUACAACAAAACCUCCACAAUGAACGGAACUACUUCCUCAUCUGAGAGCUACAUCUCUAAGAAUUAAAAUAUUAACAUAAAAUGAUCCAUUUUUGAUCAAUGAACCAAGUUACCCUGGGGAUAACAGCGCAAUCCAUUUCAAGAGCCCCUAUCGACAAA
rnacentral:rRNA from 1 species